UAUCUCUGUAGAGUCUGCAUAUCAAUAAGCGGAGGAAAAGAAACUAACUAGGAUUCCCUCAGUAACGGCGAGUGAAGCGGGAAGAGCUCAAAUUUGAAAUCUUCAAGGUUCUACCUUGACGAAUUGUAGUUUAAAGAAGUGUUUUCUGUUGGAGUUUUGGUAAAAGUUCUUUGGAAUAGGACAUCAUAGAGGGUGAGAAUCCCGUAUUUGACCAUUAUUUCCAGCUUUGUGAUACACUUUCAAAGAGUCGGAUUGUUUGGGAAUGCUGUCCAAAAUGGGUGGUAAAUUUCAUCUAAAGCUAAAUAUUGGCGAGAGACCGAUAGCGAACAAGUACCGUGAGGGAAAGAUGAAAAGAACUUUGAAAAGAGAGUUAAACAGUACGUGAAAUUGUCAAAAGGGAAGCGUUUGACACCAGUGUUGUUUUCUCGAAAAUCAAUUAAAAAAGGCAGGAUUUUGUGUUGUAUUGACUUUAUCAGCUUUCUGCACUCUUAUCUUGUCUUUUUUAAUGCACUUUUCGUUUAACAAGUCAACAUCAAUUUCUUUUGUUGUAAAAGGGUCAUUGGAAGGUGGCUUUCUUUUCGGAGAAAGUGUUUAUAGCCUUUGGCCUCUGCAAUCGGAGAGAUUGAGGUCUGCAGCGUAGAUCCUUCGGGGUUAGAUACAUUUGUGCUAAGUUAUAGCCUUUCAUAGACAACUUGUUGACUAUGAUCAGUCAUGUAGCUUACUCGCUUAUGCUACUUUUACCUACGCUUAGGAUGUUGACGAUCAGCUGAGCGCG
rnacentral:rRNA from 1 species